GAACGCAUAUUGCGCCUUCUGGUAUUCCGGAAGGCAUGCUUGUUUGGGUAUCAGUAACAACCUCAACUCCUUUCAAUCGUGUUAUGCGUGAGGGAAGGGGGUUGGAUUUGAGCAUAUCCACCGGGCCAUGUUGGCUUGAGGGAUGCUUGAAAUGGAGGUUCGGCCGACAGUGCCUGGGCUACAAGCAUUUCAUACUUAAUCACGUUAAACGGAUUAUAUCCUUUGCUGCAGCCAACAUACAGGGUAUCUGUCAGUGUUCCGACUGAUGCAGGAAAGUUGAGAUGGGUUCUUCGGAUCCUGGCUCUUCUAAACUCAAGUAAGACUACCCGCUGAACUUAAG
rnacentral:misc_RNA from 1 species